rnacentral:rRNA from 1 species
CGCGUAGGCGGCUUUACAAGUCAGAUGUGAAAUCCCGGGGCUCAACCCCGGAAGUGCAUUUGAUACUGUAUGGCUUGAGUAUGGGAGAGGGAAGUGGAAUUCCUGGUGUAGCGGUGAAAUGCGUAGAUAUCAGGAGGAACACCGGUGGCGAAGGCGGCUUCCUGGACCAAUACUGACGCUGAGGCGCGAAGGCGUGGGGAGCAAACAGGAUUAGAUACCCUGGUAGUCCACGCAGUAAACGGUGAUCACUAGGUGUAGCGGGUAUUGACCCCUGCUGUGCCGGAGUUAACGCAUUAA